AAGUCGUAACAAGGUUUCCGUAGGUGAACCUGCGGAAGGAUCAUUAUCGAAUUAAGUGGGAGGGGGGGUUGAUGCUGGCAGUUUGUCUGUAUGUGCUCGCUCUCUCUCUCUCUUUAAUCCACUUUCACCACAUGUGCACCUUGAUUUCUUUUUUCUGAAGGGCUGGCUUGCCAGCCUUUUUUUCUGAAGAUCUCUCUCUCUAUAAACUCUUAUUUGAUGUAACCGAAUGUCUAUCCGAAAGGAAAGAAUUAAUAACAACUUUUAACAACGGAUCUCUUGGCUCUC
rnacentral:misc_RNA from 1 species